rnacentral:ncRNA from 2 species
UUCUUAUCCAGAGAGGUGGAGGGACUGGCCCAAUGAAGCCUCGGCAACAGGCUUUCCAAAGCACUGUGCCAAUUCCAGCAAGCGCUAAGCUUGAAAGAUGAGAA